rnacentral:tRNA from 1 species
AUUUUAGUAGUUUAUAUAAAACAUUAAUUUUGUAAAUUAAAGAAGUUUUGACCUAUAAUUA